CUUGUUUCAAAUCAGCGCCCCCUGCCUCAGCCUAGUACUGGGAUUGCAAACAUGUCACCAGACUCAGUGACUUAAUAGUCUAGCUGUAAAUAAUACUUAAUGCUAGCUCAGGUACCUGCCAGAAAAGUGUGGUGAGCUUCCCUGAAUAUGCCCUCUGUCCUUCAGAGUGGACCGAUGUGUUUACAUAAAAAACAUUUACUUGGGGGCAGGGCACACGGGCCAUGGGGUUCGCGUGGAGGCCAGAGGACAAGGUCCUCUCUCCACCAUGUGGCUCCAGCAAUGGAAGUUGGGUCAUGGGUCUCAUUGGACCCUCACUGGAAAAUGGAACUGAGCAGACUGUGCGUCCUGGGAGGACACUGGCAGCCCUGGGCAGAAGAGGACAGUUACCAGUUUGCUCAUUGCCAGCCCUAAGGGCUGAACUGCCCGACUGUGGUGUAGCUUUGACACCAUUACGAGAUAGACACUAGCAACCCUAUCUAGUGUCUGGGAAAGUCACCUCCCCCCCCCCCGAAAAAAAAAAGCAAUAUAUGACCCAAAGAGCCAGGAAGUCUGAACUCUCUCCAGAAAGGGAGGAUUCUAUGGGGAUUCCUGCAUAGGGAAUGUGAGUGUCUUUUAUUGUUUUUAUUGUCAACACAACCAAGAGUGACAAGAGUCUCAACUGAAGGACCUCCCAGAUCAGAUUGGCCUGUGGCUAUGUGUGUGGGGAACUGUGUUAGCUGCUGAUUGAUGGGGGAGGACCUAGCUCUCUGUGGGUUCACCACCACCACCACCACCACCACCACCUCUGGGCAGGUUGUCCUGGCUUGUGAUAGCAGGGCUGAAUAGGCAGAGAGACAGAGACACAGAGACACAGAGACACACACACACACACAGAGGGAGGUAGAGGAGAGAGAGAGAGAGAGAGAGAGAGAGAGAGAGAGAGAGAGAGAGAGAGAGAGAGCACAUCAUUCUUCCAAGUUCCCGUCUUGAGUUCCUGCCCUGGCUUCCCUCAAUGAUGGAUAUGACCUGGAAGUGUAAGUUGAAAUAAACCCUUUCCUCCCCAAGUUUCUUUUAGUCCUGAUUUUAUCACGGUGACAGAGAAGGAAGCUGAGACAGUAAGCUGAAAACAGGAAGCCUUCUUUCUGUCUGUUUGAAAUGCAGCCAAGCCCAGCCUGGAGGUAACCCUGGAGGCAGACAGAGGGGGCCGGGUUUGAGGCCAACCAGAGUUGUUACUCAGUGAGACUGUCUCAAAAAUCCUAUCUGUAUUAGUGCCUUUUGUGUAGCUCUGCCUGGGUACCUGGCCACAGCCACACAAAGCAGUGUCUUCUUAUUCUGUUGCUGUGAUAAAAUACCCCCGACAAAAGCAACCCAGGAGGAAGCACUCCUGUCAGCUCAGUUUCAGUUAUCCCUCAGAGCAGCGAAGUUAAGACAGUAAGAGCUUGAAGCAGUCGGCUAUACCACAUCCCCUGUCAGAGGAGAGAAAUAAAGGGGUACGUCCCACUCAACUCUCUCCGCCUUACACAGUCCAGGAUCCCUUGCUCUGGGAAUGGGCUCACCCUUAGUGGGCUGGGCUUCCCAUGACAACCGUGAUAUUCCACAGUACUGCCCAGAGACCCUGAUGGCAUUCAGGCAUUUACACGGGUCUGCUCUCAGGGACCUAGCGGGACAUGCCAUCAGCCCCAGCCAAGAUGUGACGCUGUAGCUACUACAGCCGCUAAGUGGCCUGUGAGCUUGUGCCGCAUACCACGUGUGCUCUGUUGCGUGGUGUGACUUCGUGGUGCUCCUUGGCUCCAACUUACUAAGGUUGCCUUGCCCUACAUGAUUACAGGGUCCACUCCAGAUUCUAUGGAGCCUACAUUCAACAGCAGCCGUGGGAGGGAGCAAUUCUUCAUCCUAACUCAGUCUCCAGGAGUAUGGUUGUCAAGAGAAGGCAAGAACGGUGCUGCAGAGAGCCAGUGACAGCCCCACCCUGAAGCUGGCUGGAAGGAGUCAGGAGUACCACACCCUCAAGGCCCAGCCUUCAAACCCCGCCCCCCCCCCCCCGUCCCGUCCCAUCUCCUAAAGUCCCACAGCCCCCCCCAACACACACACCCUAAACUGCAGGGUGGGGACACAGUGCUCAGAAUGAGCCUGUAGGGGAGCAUUCCAGAUUCAAACCACUGCACAAACAAAAAAAUAAUAAAAGACGAAAUUAAUGAAAAUGAAUACAAAUGCAGUCAGUGAAUUCAGAGAACGGGUGUGCUGAGAAAUGCCGGUGUCCUGGAGGUUCCGGUGGAACGAGACCUCACCGGAGCACAAGAGAGAUACGGAGGACAAACCCUGGCACCUAACACCGAAAGGAGAGUGGCUUUAGAAAAAGGAGAAAGGGGAAAUAUGUAUAAAGGGAAAACAAGAGUUGAACAAUUAAUUAAAGAGCAUUUUCUGAGCCUCAGAAAGACUUGAUUAAAGGGGCUGAUAAAGUUCCAGGAAGGAUUAAUUAAAGAAAGGCAUAUACUUAGACAGACCCUGGUGUAAUUCCAGAAUUAUAAACUCCCAGACAA
rnacentral:lncRNA from 1 species